CCUACGGGGGGCUGCAGUGGGGGAUAUUGCACAAUGGGGGAAACCCUGAUGCAGCGACGCCGCGUGGGUGAAGAAGUAUUUCGGUAUGUAAAGCCCUAACAGCAGGGAAGAAAGAAGACGGUACCUGACUAAGAAGCCCCGGCUAACUACGUGCCAGCAGCCGCGGUAAUACGUAGGGGGCGAGCGUUAUCCGGAUUCACUGGGGGGAAAGGGAGCGUAGACGGCCGUGCAAGCCAGGAGUGAAAGCCCGGGGCCCAACCCCGGGACUGCUCUUGGAACUGUGCGGCUGGAGUGCGGGAGGGGCAGGCGGAAUUCCUGGUGUAGCGGUGAAAUGCGUAGAUAUCAGGAGGAACACCGGCGGCGAAGGCGGCCUGCUGGACCGCGACUGACGUUGAGGCUCGAAAGCGUGGGGAGCAAACAGGAUUAGAUACCCGAGUAGUC
rnacentral:rRNA from 1 species